rnacentral:lncRNA from 1 species
AUUGAGAUGGAGGUCACGCAAGGAACUGACUGUUCUCAUGUCUACCUGACUUUUUUUUUGUUUUGGUCUAGUAUGUUUAGUAAUUUCUGACAGUUGCAUAAUGGCAGCACACAACACAGCACAGCUUAGUUUUGUUGGGCCGUCUGACCUGCUUCAGCCAUUCAGCCUGCAGCUGUGAUGUUGGAGGUGGGCUGGGUUGUUAAACUUUGCCUGAAUGUCCAGGUUGUGACAUCUGUCCGGAAAGAUUCUCCUUUCCUUCCUGCCCAGCAUUGAUCUAGAAGCAGAAGAAGAAUCUUGGUGCCUUUCAAAGAUUAGGGUGUGGUUUGUUUUCUCUCCCUCUUCCUCUCCCUCUCUUCCUUUUUUUUUUCUUUUCCUUUUCCUCUUUUCCUCUUUUCCUUUUUUUUUUUUUUUUUUUGGAGACAUGAUCUCUUUGUGUAGUUCUGGCUGUCCUGAAACUCACUCUGUGGGUCAGUCUGCUUGGCACUCACAAAGAUCCCUUGCCUCCUGAGUUACGGGAUUAAAGGCGUGCACCAUCGUAUCCAGUAUUUUUUUUAAAAACCUUAAAAAGACAACU